rnacentral:rRNA from 1 species
GGUUUCCGUAGGUGAACCUGCGGAAGGAUCAUUAGUGAAUAUAGGACGUCCAACUUAACUUGGAGUCCGAACUCUCACUUUCUAACCCUGUGCACUUGUUUGGGAUAGUAACUCUCGCAAGAGAGCGAACUCCUAUUCACUUAUAAACACAAAGUCUAUGAAUGUAUUAAAUUUUAUAACAAAAUAAAACUUUCAACAACGGAUCUCUUGGCUCUCGCAUCGAUGAAGAACGCAGCGAAAUGCGAUAAGUAAUGUGAAUUGCAGAAUUCAGUGAAUCAUCGAAUCUUUGAACGCACCUUGCGCUCCAUGGUAUUCCGUGGAGCAUGCCUGUUUGAGUGUCAUGAAUACUUCAACCCUCCUCUUUCUUAAUGAUUGAAGAGGUGUUUGGUUUCUGAGCGCUGCUGGCCUUUACGGUCUAGCUCGUUCGUAAUGCAUUAGCAUCCGCAAUCGAACUUCGGAUUGACUUGGCGUAAUAGACUAUUCGCUGAGGAAUUCUAGUCUUCGGACUAGAGCCGGGUUGGGUUAAAGGAAGCUUCUAAUCAGAAUGUCUACAUUUUAAGAUUAGAUCUCAAAUCAGGUAGGACUACCCGCUGAACUUAAGCAUAUCAA